GAUGAACGCUGGCGGCGUGCCUAAUACAUGCAAGUCGAGCGAACGGACGAGAAGCUUGCUUCUCUGAUGUUAGCGGCGGACGGGUGAGUAACACGUGGAUAACCUACCUAUAAGACUGGGAUAACUUCGGGAAACCGGAGCUAAUACCGGAUAAUAUUUUGAACCGCAUGGUUCAAAAGUGAAAGACGGUCUUGCUGUCACUUAUAGAUGGAUCCGCGCUGCAUUAGCUAGUUGGUAAGGUAACGGCUUACCAAGGCAACGAUGCAUAGCCGACCUGAGAGGGUGAUCGGCCACACUGGAGCUGAGACACGGUCCAGACUCCUACGGGAGGCAGCAGUAGGGAAUCUUCCGCAAUGGGCGAAAGCCUGACGGAGCAGCGCCGCGUGAGUGAUGAAGGUCUUCGGAUCGUAAAACUCUGUUAUUAGGGAAGAACAUAUGUGUAAGUAACUGUGCACAUCUUGACGGUACCUAAUCAGAAAGCCACGGCUAACUACGUG
rnacentral:rRNA from 1 species